CCUACGGGAGGCAGCAGUGGGGAAUUUUGGACAAUGGGGGCAACCCUGAUCCAGCAAUGCCGCGUGAGUGAAGAAGGCCUUCGGGUUGUAAAGCUCUUUUGUCAGGGAAGAAACGGUGUUUCCUAAUACGGAAUGCUAAUGACGGUACCUGAAGAAUAAGCACCGGCUAACUACGUGCCAGCAGCCGCGGUAAUACGUAGGGUGCAAGCGUUAAUCGGAAUUACUGGGCGUAAAGCGUGCGCAGGCGGUUUUAUAAGUCUGAUGUGAAAUCCCCGGGCUCAACCUGGGAACUGCAUUGGAGACUGUAAGGCUAGAGUGUGUCAGAGGGGGGUAGAAUUCCACGUGUAGCAGUGAAAUGCGUAGAUAUGUGGAGGAAUACCGAUGGCGAAGGCAGCCCCCUGGGAUAACACUGACGCUCAUGCACGAAAGCGUGGGGAGCAAACAGGAUUAGAUACCCUGGUAGUCCACGCCCUAAACGAUGUCUACUAGUUGUCGGGUCUUAAUUGACUUGGUAACGCAGCUAACGCGUGAAGUAGACCGCCUGGGGGAGGUACGGUCGCGAGAGUAAACUACGAAGAAGUAGACGGCGUGAGAGUGCCGACGGACGACGACGAGGGAGGAGG
rnacentral:rRNA from 1 species